AGCAGCCGCGGUAAUUCCAGCUCCAAUAGCGUAUAUUAAAGUUGUUGCGGUUAAAAAGCUCGUAGUUGAAUUUCGGGGUUAGUAAGUUGGUCAUGCCUCUGGUAUGAACUGGCUUUACUGAUUCCUCCUUCUUGAUGAACUGUAAUGUCAUUAAUUUGGUGUUGCAGGGAAUCAGGACUGUUACUUUGAAAAAUUAGAGUGUUUAAAGCAGGCAUACGCUUGAAUACAUUAGCAUGGAAUAAUGAAAUAGGACGUUUGAUCCUAUUUUGUUGGUUUCUAGGAUUGACGUAAUGAUUAAUAGGGAUAGUUGGGGGCAUUAGUAUUCAAUUGUCAGAGGUGAAAUUCUUGGAUUUAUUGAAGACUAACUACUGCGAAAGCAUUUGCCAAGGAUGUUUUCAUUAAUCAAGAACGAAAGUUAGGGGAUCGAAGACGAUCAGAUACCGUCGUAGUCUUAACCAUAAACUAUGCCGACUAGGGAUCGGAUGAUGUUAUUUUUAAUGACUCAUUCGGCGU
rnacentral:rRNA from 1 species